rnacentral:lncRNA from 1 species
GAGGGGGGGUCCGGGCAGCGCCAGGAGGAAGGGGACAAUGACACGGGGGGGACGUGAGCUGGUGGUGGCAUCUCCAGGGCUUGUGAUGGGGCCAUUUCACUGCACUGGUGGCAUCUCCAGGACCGGUGGUGGCAUCUCCCUGCCCUGGUGGCAUCGUGUCCAGUGCUGGCAUUGGUAUCUCCAGGGCUGGUGGCAUCUCCCUGCCCUCGUGGUGGCACCUCCAGGACUGGUGGCACCUGGGAUGAUGGUGGCAUCUCCCCACCCUGGUGGUGGCAUCUCCAGGUGUGGUUGGUAGCGGUAUCUCCAGUGGUGGUGGCAUCUCCAGUGGUGGUGACAUCUCCCUGCCCUGGUGGUGACAUCUCCAGGGCUGAUAGUGGCAUCUCCCCACCUUGGUGGUGACAUCUCCAGGGCUGAUAGUGGCAUCUCCCCACCUUGGUGGUGACGUCUCCAGGGCUGGUGGCACCUCCAGGGCUGGGUGGUAGUGGUAUCUCCAGUGCUGGUGGCAUCUCCAGGACUGAUGGCAUCUCCAGGGCUGCUGGUGGUGACAUCUCCAGUGGUGGUGACAUCUCCAGGGCUGGUAGUGGCAUCUCCAGGGCAUUGGUGGCACCUCCAAAGCUGCUAGUGGUGGCAUCUCCCCACCUUGGUGGUGGCAUCCCCAGGUCUGGUUGGUAGUAGUAUCUCCAGUGGUGGUGACAUCGCCAGGGCACUGGUGGCAUUUCCAGUGGUGGUGGCAUCUCCCCACCUUGGUGGUGGCAUCCCCAGGGCUGGCAGUGGUACCUCCAGGGCACUGGUGGCAUUUCCAUUGGUGGUGGCAUCUCCUCACCUUGGUGGUGACAUCUCCAGGGCUGGUAGUGGCAUCUCCAGGGCAUUGGUGGCAUUUCCAGUGGUGGUGGCAUCUCCCCACCUUGGCGGUGNCAUCUCCAGGGCAUUGGUGGCACCUCCAGGGUUGGGUGGUAGUGGUAUCUCCAGUGCUGGUGGCAUCUCCCCACCUUGACGGUGGCAUCUCCAGGGCUGCUGGUGGUGACAUCUCCAGAGCUGGCGGCACCUCCCCGCGCUGGCGGUGGCAUCAUCAUCAUCAUCUCCAGUGCUGGUGGUGGCAUCAUCAUCAUCAUCAUCUCCAGUGCUGGUGGUGACAUCGGUGGCCGCCGGUGGCAU